CAGUCUCAGUUCGGAUUGAAGGCUGAAAUUCGCCUUCAUGAAGCCGGAAUUGCUAGUAAUGGCAGGUCAGCAUACUGCCGUGAAUACGUUCCCGGGCCUUGUACACACCGCCCGUCACACCAUGAGAGUUGGGGAUACCCGAAGCCUGUGAGCUAACAGUAAUGAAGCAGCAGUCGAAGGUAGAAUCAAUGAUUGGGGUGAAGUCGUAACAAGGUACC
rnacentral:rRNA from 1 species